rnacentral:rRNA from 1 species
CAGUCGAGCGAACAGAUAAGGAGCUUGCUCCUUUGACGUUAGCGGCGGACGGGUGAGUAACACGUGGAUAACCUACCUAUAAGACUGGGAUAACUUCGGGAAACCGGAGCUAAUACCGGAUAAGAUUUUGAACCGCAUGGUUCAAUAGUGAAAGACGGCCUUGCUGUCACUUAUAGAUGGAUCCGCGCCGUAUUAGCUAGUUGGUAAGGUAACGGCUUACCAAGGCAACGAUACGUAGCCGACCUGAGAGGGUGAUCGGCCACACUGGAACUGAGACACGGUCCAGACUCCUACGGGAGGCAGCAGUAGGGAAUCUUCCGCAAUGGGCGAAAGCCUGACGGAGCAACGCCGCGUGAGUGAUGAAGGUCUUCGGAUCGUAAAACUCUGUUAUCAGGGAAGAACAAACGUGUAAGUAACUGUGCACGUCUUGACGGUACCUGAUCAGAAAGCCACGGCUAACUACGUGCCAGCAGCCGCGGUAAUACGUAGGUGGCAAGCGUUAUCCGGAAUUAUUGGGCGUAAAGCGCGCGUAGGCGGUUUUUUAAGUCUGAUGUGAAAGCCCACGGCUCAACCGUGGAGGGUCAUUGGAAACUGGAAAACUUGAGUGCAGAAGAGGAAAGUGGAAUUCCAUGUGUAGCGGUGAAAUGCGCAGAGAUAUGGAGGAACACCAGUGGGCGAAAGCGACUUUCUGGGUCUGUAA